rnacentral:lncRNA from 1 species
AAUCACCAUGUAGUUAAUAUUUUAUCUUGGGAGGCCGGUCUUAAACUCUUAAUCAUGUUAGGUAAUAGAAAAGUAGAUUAGCCGCAUGCAUAUGCAUGUAUAACUUGAUUCAUAAGCUUCCUAUAUCACUGGCUAGGUAUAUCAUAUCAAUUUAAAACUAUAGUAAUUAUCAGUUAACAUAUUUUAUCAAUUAAUUUGCCUCAUAUUUUCUUGGUGACCCAUUGUAAGAUCCUGCCAUGAGCUUUGCAUACACAUAGACAUUGAUUUUAUGUGGUGAAACAGAAAGCUAGAAGAACCCUAAUACUAGAUUCCAAAAUGAUAAGAUAUGGAGAUCGGGAAUCUAAUUUUGCAAAUGCAAUAUAUACAAGAACUAAUUAACACUUUGAUUAGUGGAAAUUUCUUUGCUAAAGGUUAACUUAUGCUCGGUGAUGUGAUCAAUAUGGUCCAUAUGGAAUGAUUUUUGUUGCGGGCAAGUAACAUCAUUGAGAGCGAGUGCUUUCGAGUCACACUGGUUUUAAUUAUCUAGUUAUAUGGCUAUCCUGCAUGCACUACUGAAAGUUGCGUGUGCUUAAAUUUAAAUUGCAUUACUCAGUCAAAUAAUUAGUGCUAAAGUCUUUAUUAAGCAACGCUUACGAGCUAAUGAUGAGACUUCUUCUAAUAAUUUAUGGAUUAGACGUUUUGUGAAUUGUUAACGCACAAAUUUCAUUUUCAAUAAAAAAAAGAAACACAAAUUUCAUUUAUAGAUUUAAGAAGUAAAGAAAAUAUGUGUGCAGAUCUAUCUACGAGCCCACCCUGUGAUCGAUUAAUGAACUAGCUUUUCUUUUCGGGGGACAUAUAUACAUAUAUAUUGUUAUCAUUCGUACAACGUUUACGUACAUCUUAGUAUAUAUAUAGUCGUUUACUAUUGAGACAAGAAUGGUCCAUUAUACUGAUUAGUAGUGGAGAUAAGCUGGCUUUAUUAAUUCUUUUUAUUUUUUUUGGAUUAGAAAAUAAAGAAAAAUUUUAUUAACAUAUCCCUAAAUGUUAGAUGCAUAUCAUUUUCUUAUACAAAUUAUAUACGACUUUAUGGGUACAUAAAUUACCAAAAAAACAUUCAUAUCAAAAAUGUUGAAAUAAAAUAUCUUGUUUAAGACGUUCAUAUUAACUACUGUACUUCAAACAUUUGUUAAUUUUAGCUUGAAUCGAGUACCAAUAUUUUGACACCACAUGCAUAUGAAUAUUGUGCAAUAGUUCCUCAGAAUCGAUUAAUUUAGUUUUACAAAGGAUUGAGCAUUCUAAUGCUAAAAGUUCUGUUAAGAACUUUGGUGAUGUAUUGUCUUAUUUUGUUUUGAUUCGGUAGGCUCAAAAAAUCUUGAAAUCAAUUUGUGUAGAGGUUUCUUGAGAAGAAAAUUUGUCGAGGAAAACUGAUGAGAGAAGAUGUUAACAAAAGGAAAUUCCUCGAGAAAGAUCUUAACAAGGUGAAACCAUUUAGAAAAAAAAAUAAAAACCUUCGAGGAAUAUAUCAAUGAGGUGAAACAGUACGAGAAAAUAUGAAACAUUUUGAGAAAAAUCUCAGUAAUAUGAAUUUAUUUUUAUUUUUUUAAAUAAAUUGAGUAGCAGAUUUAGAAAAAUGUGUAGUAAAUGGGUUGUGUAUUUAGUGAAUAAGUUGUGUAUGUUAAAUGAGGAUAUUGUAGGAAGUUUGGAUAUGUGUAUCUAGUAAAAUGUUAAAACAAAAAAGUUAAUAGGUGGCGUAUUAAGUAUGAGAUGUGUAUCUAGUAAUUAGGAAUGUGUUAAUAAAAUUUCUCGAAAAUAAAAUAUUACAAGAGAAGCCUCUACUACGUCCACCACCGCAUUGAUCAAAGCGGAAUUUAGUGUAUAUAUGUCUCAAAAGAGCUAAAGAGUCUGUUAUGAAAUUCUCUUCUCUUCAAACAUGCUUAAAGGAAACAAAGUUGAAAUUUCUACAGAGAUGAAUGAUAUCUGCAAUCAACGAUAUUUUGAUUAGCUAAAGGCAGCGAGCCUUGCCAAGAAAAACAUACAGAAGAUCAAACUUUAGAGUCACCUUGAAGACUGAUAGAGCUUUAUCGAACUUUUUGUAUCAAGUUACUGAGAGCUCAGCUGACAUUGGCGUAUGGGCGAUGAAUACAUCUACCUAAGGCAUAUAAACUUGACUUUGCAUUUAUCUAUUCUUAUGUGCACUUGACUUUCAAGUUCCAUUAUUCAGUGAAUUUUCCUCUCAAGCAAAACUCAUGUGUGGUUCCCAGCUUAAUCGAUCUAGGGGUUAUUUGUAGCACACGAACAUACGGUCAAUUAAUCAGAUCCGGAUGAUAUGUCGUGCAGAUAAAUCUCAACUGAAAGAAGGUGAUUAUACAUCACAGUGGUCAGAUGAAACUAUAUAAUAUGGAAAUAAGAGCAUAGCGGGUACUUUGCCUUCAACAUUGGCUGCAUAUAUAUACAUAUAUACCUACAAUAUUUUAUAACUGUUUGUCGUUGAAGUGUAGAACCCUGAACACCCAAAAGGCCAAAUCACAGCAGCAUGCGUCCCAAAGUGUAUAAUAUGUUAACGUUUGCAUUCAAAAUUUCAUGCUAUAUGUAAGAAGAGUGAUUAACUAUGUGUGUUUGUGUCUAUGACUUGCAUAUAUGAACGAGCUCAUCAAGUGAGGAAUAAUAGAGAAACUUCAUUUAAUUUACAGACAAGUAACAUCAUUGAAAGACUUUGAGUGUCCAAUUAUUUUAGGCAUAACUCCCUGCCAAAAACCACAGUUUACUAAUCAAAUUAAGAUGACUAAUUGCGGCUAUUCUUAUGUUAGAUCAAUGCACAAGAUCAUUCUGUUCUGUUAUCUUUUCUUGAGGGACAGGUUUUUUCAAAUUUUCCCAGGGCCAGGAGUCCAUGAGUAUAUAUAUAUAUAUAUAUAUAGGCACGUCACUGAUAUCAUGUCUUUGAUGUAUAUAGAUGAGAGAGGGAUGGUUCAGAAUCUGUAAUGGUUUUAGCCAAUUUUUUGUCAAAAACAUACUUUCUUCCUACGUAAUUUGUUGGCACCGAGAAUAUACAGGUCAUUCUGACAAGAUCUUGAGCUCGUCUUACAUAUAUACUGGGCAUAUUGACAUGGAAUCCAGCUAUAUAUAUGCACUUGUUGGUUACAUGCAUUUACUACUUCCAAUUCCAAGUCUCGAUCACAAAGUCACAAUAUAUAGGUUUUAAUCCAGAAACCAUCACACCAUAGAAAUAACCUAGCUAGCAAACACCAGAGAGUAAUACAGUUAUUACAUUUCAUAUAGCUUCGAUUCGCAAUGACGCACAGGCCAAUUAUUUCAGUAAAAACCUCCCCAGAUUAUUCACAUUCAUAGUAAUUCACUUAAUUGGGUGGUAAAAGUUUUGGCCGUACCCGUAAUUCGUUUUCUGGGCCGCUGCGUAACCAGAUAUGUACUUAUACAACCUAACAAACGCCGUUACCGCCGCCACGCCGCACCCGCCGGAGAAAACUAAACCUGUUGCUGCGAGGAACAAGGCCAAUCCUGCUGGGACUAGGAUAGGGCUAAACAGGACUACAACUGGGGUGGCCAUGAUCAGGGCUAUCACCGUGGCGGUUAAAGUUAAACCGGACAAGACAAAGAGCGUGCUGCCAACUGCCCCUGCGACCAAGAACUUGGCUGCACUACCGUAGCUACUGCCGCCUGAGGACUUCUGAGCGGAGUAGUAGUACCGUUCGUCGUCCGGUUUCUGAUGAAAGUCCACUGAUGCCAUUGAUAGUUUGAUACUGUGAUCGGAAAGUGAGUAUAUAUCGAAGUAUAUAUCGAACAACAGAUUGAUUUCAAAGGAGUGAUCGAUCUCUAAGUGAACUAUGAAGGUCUUAAUAAUAAGCUUGCUAGCUACAAUGUCCAUCUGUUGAGGCCAUAUCGAAGCGGCGAGUUGUUGUGUAAACACGUCGUCAUGUAUGGUGGCACCUCUGAU